UACAGAGGUGGCAAGCGUUGUUCGGAAUCACUGGGCGUAAAGGGCGCGUAGGCGGCCCACUAAGUCAGACGUGAAAUCCCCCGGCUUAACCUGGGAACUGCGUCUGAUACUGGAGGGCUUGAGUAUGGGAGAGGGAUGUAGAAUUCCAGGUGUAGCGGUGAAAUGCGUAGAUAUCUGGAGGAAUACCGGUGGCGAAGGCGGCAUCCUGGACCAUUACUGACGCUCAUGCACGAAAGCGUGGGGAGCAAACAGG
rnacentral:rRNA from 1 species